UGAAAAGAGAAAAAAUCUAAAUAUAUAAGGGGAGUUUAAACCCCCGUCAUCUGAAAAUAAGAAUUUUAUUUCAAAAAUAUAAAAGUUUAUUAGUAUUUACUUUAAAAAAAAUCAUUAUAAUGAAAAUGUGUGUAGGGGUGUAAAACUUCCCCUCAUUUUUUUCCUCCCAAUAUUUUAGGGUUGCAGGAUGCUCUAAGAAUUUUCUAGCUCCCUGUCACUCCAAAAAAUCGAUUUGAUGAGGAGAAAAAGAGAUGUAUGGUGAUUUUUGUCCGCGGAAGAGAACAAGAACUCUACUAAGGUAUUGAUUUUACAUUAAAGAAGAGAGGAUUUAUUGGAUUCUCUCUAAGCUGGUAGAUUUGCUCUUCCGUCGACGAAUAUCCUCAAAAUCAUCACAGAAUUAGGCACAGGAAGUGGUGAUGUUCUAGUUCUAGAUGUAUUUGCAGGUCAUCUGAAAUAGAGAUUUAGUGAUUGCUAUCCAGGGUGACUUGCAGAAUGAAUGGUUAAAUUUUGGGUUCUCAUUGAAAGAUGUAUGACUCAUGAAAUGAAAGUUGUUCAGAGAGUACGUAUGUAGAGUACUGAAAAUUUUGGAGCUCGAUCUGCUGAUUUUGGUGCGAUAAAGACGGUUGAUGUCACUGACAAGGAAAACAAGUCUACAUUGUCCACAUUCUAUUGGAGAACAGUCUACACACUAAAGGGAAUUAUCAAAGUUAAGGACACACAAAAUGCUUGUGAGCUUAGAUGUGGAUUAUGUGCCAAGAUAAGUAAUAGAUAGUGAUAAGUAGAGAGUUACGAUCUCUUGUUAGUGCCUUUCAGGUGGAGGGACUCCUGAAGGACAAGAAAUAUAAAACAAUAGUUGAUGCAGAUAUUCAAGGUAAUUAGGAUUAAGAGGUUGACCAGCUUAUUCAGGUAGCUCUACUGUGCACACAAAGUAUGCCUACGGAACGUACGGUGAUGUCAGAAGUUUUAAGAAUGCUUGAAGGUAAUAGCCUCGCUGAGAGGUUGGAGGACAUUGUUGCAUAUGAAUGAUAGUGAAUCUUUUCAUCAAUAAAAUCAAUAUUAGCGAAUGACUAUUCUAAUAAUGAUUUGAAGUUUCUUGUAAUCUUAAUGGUUGAAGUGAAUAAUAUUUUUUCAAUUUAGUUUGUAAAACUAAUAGUACAUUUUAUAAUAUAUUCUUUUGUGUUGAAAUA